GUGGGGAAUAUUGCACAAUGGGCGCAAGCCUGAUGCAGCAACGCCGCGUGGGGGAUGACGGCCUUCGGGUUGUAAACCUCUUUUAGUAGGGAAGAAGCGAAAGUGACGGUACCUGCAGAAAAAGCACCGGCUAACUACGUGCCAGCAGCCGCGGUAAUACGUAGGGUGCAAGCGUUGUCCGGAAUUAUUUGGCGUAAAGAGCUCGUAGGCGGUUUGUCGCGUCUGCUGUGAAAUCCCGAGGCUCAACGUCGGGCCUGCAGUGGGUACGGGCAGACUAGAGUGCGGUAGGGGAGAUUGGAAUUCCUGGUGUAGCGGUGGAAUGCGCAGAUAUCAGGAGGAACACCGAUGGCGAAGGCAGAUCUCUGGGCCGCUACUGACGCUGAGGAGCGAAAGCAUGGGGAGCGAACAGGAUUAGAUACCCUAGUAGUCC
rnacentral:rRNA from 1 species